UGAGGAAUAUUGGUCAAUGGGCGCAAGCCUGAACCAGCCAUCCCGCGUGAAGGAAGAAUGCGCUACGCGUUGUAAACUUCUUUUCCAGGGGGAGAAUUUUCCUGUCGAGACAGGGAUUGACGGUACCCUGGGAAUAAGCAUCGGCUAACUCCGUGCCAGCAGCCGCGGUAAUACGGAGGAUGCGAGCGUUAUCCGGAUUUAUUGGGUUUAAAGGGUGCGUAGGCGGAUUGAUAAGUCAGUGGUGAAAUUCUGCAGCUUAACUGUAGACUUGCCGUUGAUACUGUUAGUCUUGAGUGUGGUCAAGGCAGGCGGAAUGUGUAAUGUAGCGGUGAAAUGCUUAGAUAUUACACAGAACACCGAUUGCGAAGGCAGCUUGCUGGGUCAUUACUGACGCUGAUGCACGAAAGCGUGGGGA
rnacentral:rRNA from 1 species